rnacentral:rRNA from 1 species
AAAUUGAAGAGUUUGAUCAUGGCUCAGAUUGAACGCUGGCGGCAGGCCUAACACAUGCAAGUCGAGCGGUAGCACAGAGAGCUUGCUCUCGGGUGACGAGCGGCGGACGGGUGAGUAAUGUCUGGGAAACUGCCUGAUGGAGGGGGAUAACUACUGGAAACGGUAGCUAAUACCGCAUAACGUCGCAAGACCAAAGUGGGGGACCUUCGGGCCUCAUGCCAUCAGAUGUGCCCAGAUGGGAUUAGCUAGUAGGUGGGGUAAUGGCUCACCUAGGCGACGAUCCCUAGCUGGUCUGAGAGGAUGACCAGCCACACUGGAACUGAGACACGGUCCAGACUCCUACGGGAGGCAGCAGUGGGGAAUAUUGCACAAUGGGCGCAAGCCUGAUGCAGCCAUGCCGCGUGUAUGAAGAAGGCCUUCGGGUUGUAAAGUACUUUCAGCGAGGAGGAAGGCAUUAAGGUUAAUAACCUUGGUGAUUGACGUUACUCGCAGAAGAAGCACCGGCUAACUCCGUGCCAGCAGCCGCGGUAAUACGGAGGGUGCAAGCGUUAAUCGGAAUUACUGGGCGUAAAGCGCACGCAGGCGGUCUGUUAAGUCAGAUGUGAAAUCCCCGGGCUCAACCUGGGAACUGCAUUUGAAACUGGCAGGCUUGAGUCUUGUAGAGGGGGGUAGAAUUCCAGGUGUAGCGGUGAAAUGCGUAGAGAUCUGGAGGAAUACCGGUGGCGAAGGCGGCCCCCUGGACAAAGACUGACGCUCAGGUGCGAAAGCGUGGGGAGCAAACAGGAUUAGAUACCCUGGUAGUCCACGCUGUAAACGAUGUCGACUUGGAGGUUGUUCCCUUGAGGAGUGGCUUCCGGAGCUAACGCGUUAAGUCGACCGCCUGGGGAGUACGGCCGCAAGGUUAAAACUCAAAUGAAUUGACGGGGGCCCGCACAAGCGGUGGAGCAUGUGGUUUAAUUCGAUGCAACGCGAAGAACCUUACCUACUCUUGACAUCCAGAGAACUUAGCAGAGAUGCUUUGGUGCCUUCGGGAACUCUGAGACAGGUGCUGCAUGGCUGUCGUCAGCUCGUGUUGUGAAAUGUUGGGUUAAGUCCCGCAACGAGCGCAACCCUUAUCCUUUGUUGCCAGCGGUUCGGCCGGGAACUCAAAGGAGACUGCCAGUGAUAAACUGGAGGAAGGUGGGGAUGACGUCAAGUCAUCAUGGCCCUUACGAGUAGGGCUACACACGUGCUACAAUGGCAUAUACAAAGAGAAGCGACCUCGCGAGAGCAAGCGGACCUCAUAAAGUAUGUCGUAGUCCGGAUUGGAGUCUGCAACUCGACUCCAUGAAGUCGGAAUCGCUAGUAAUCGUAGAUCAGAAUGCUACGGUGAAUACGUUCCCGGGCCUUGUACACACCGCCCGUCACACCAUGGGAGUGGGUUGCAAAAGAAGUAGGUAGCUUAACCUUCGGGAGGGCGCUUACCACUUUGUGAUUCAUGACUGGGGUGAAGUCGUAACAAGGUAACCGUAGGGGAACCUGCGGUUGGAUCACCUCCUUACCUGAAAGAA